rnacentral:misc_RNA from 1 species
AAACCUUCAAGCUCAGCUUGGUGUUGGGUGCUUGUCCUCCCCCGUGGUGGACUCACCUCAAAUGCAUUGGCGGCCGGUAUGUUGGCUUCGAGCGCAGUAGAACGCGCCUGGCGUCUUGACGUACUGAUCCUCCACGAGACUAUUCUCA